UACGUAGGGUGCAAGCGUUGUCUGGAAUUAUUGGGCGUAAAGGGCUCGUAGGCGGUUUGUCGCGUCGGGAGUGAAAUCCACUGGCUUAACUGGUGGCUUGCUUUCGAUACGGGCAGACUGGAGGUAUGCAGGGGAGAACGGAAUUCCUGGUGUAGCGGUGAAAUGCGCAGAUAUCAGGAGGAACACCGGUGGCGAAGGCGGUUCUCUGGGCAUGUCCUGACGCUGAGGAGCGAAAGUGUGGGGAGCGAACAGG
rnacentral:rRNA from 1 species